rnacentral:lncRNA from 1 species
GGAUUAGAGGUCAGGGAUGAUGGGAUGAUGAGGCCGCAUGUGGAGAUUGUACUUGAGUGGAAUGAUGAGUCGCCUAAAAUUUUUAAGACCUGGGGUCGUUUGAUGCAUGAUUGAAAUGAAUCCAUAGAAUCUGUUGCAGGAUUCACCAUAAAUAGAUUGCAGCAAAGAUUUGAAUUUGAAAUCGAGGAUUUUAACUUUGAAGAUAAACAAUAUUAUGAGUGUAUGUAUCG